CUAACUCUCCAGGACCAGGUGGCCACUCUUCGCUAACCUUUCCCCUUAAAUUUUGGCCCUGCCACUCUGUUCAAAAAAAUACCUUCCUCUCAGCGCUUCUAGGGUCUCGCCUAUCGAUAUCUUCGCAUGCAACACCUAGCGAAAAUUCGAGCGACCAUGGCCGCGGAGAAUUAUUCGCAAACAUCGAAGAGCUACACCUUCCCCAUGCUGGCAUUCUCGGACAUUACAGUGCCUAGGAGGAUCUUGCAGCGCCCAACGUAGGCUUACACCCACGUAUCUGAUAAUCCUUAAGUCUUUGGCGUGAAAAAUCCCCACCGGCCUCCCC